UACAGAGGUCUCAAGCGUUGUUCAUUCAUUGGGCGUAAAGGGUGUGUAGGUGGCGCCGUAAGUCGGGUGUGAAAUUUCGGAGCUUAACUCCGAAACUGCAUUCGAUACUGCCGUGCUUGAGGACUGGAGAGGAGACUGGAAUUUACGGUGUAGCGGUGAAAUGCGUAGAUAUCGUAAGGAAGACCAGUGGCGAAGGCGGGUCUCUGGACAGUUCCUGACGCUGAGGCACGAAGGCCAGGGGAGCAAACGGG
rnacentral:rRNA from 1 species